AUUGAACGCUGGCGGCAGGCCUAACACAUGCAAGUCGAGCGGAUGAAGGGAGCUUGCUCCUGGAUUCAGCGGCGGACGGGUGAGUAAUGCCUAGGAAUCUGCCUGGUAUUGGGGGAUAACGUCCGUAAACGGGCGCUAAUACCGCAUACGUCCUGAGGGUGAAAGUGGGGGAUCUUCGGACCUCACGCUAUCAGAUGAGCCUAGGUCGGAUUAGCUAGUUGGUAGGGUAAAGGCCUACCAAGGCGACGAUCCGUAACUGGUCUGAGAGGAUGAUCAGUCACACUGGAACUGAGACACGGUCCAGACUCCUACGGGAGGCAGCAGUGGGGAAUAUUGGACAAUGGGCGAAAGCCUGAUCCAGCCAUGCCGCGUGUGUGAAGAAGGUCUUCGGAUUGUAAAGCACUUUUAGUUGGGAGGAAGGGCAGUAAGUUAAUACCUGGCUGUUUUGACGUUACCAACAGAAUAAGCACCGGCUAACUUCGUG
rnacentral:rRNA from 1 species